rnacentral:rRNA from 1 species
AAGUCGAGGGGCAGCAUGAUUUGUAGCAAUACAGAUUGAUGGCGACCGGCGCACGGGUGAGUAACACGUAUCCAACCUGCCGAUAACUCGGGGAUAGCCUUUCGAAAGAAAGAUUAAUACCCGAUAGUAUAGUAUUUCCGCAUGGUUUCACUAUUAAAGAAUUUCGGUUAUCGAUGGGGAUGCGUUCCAUUAGAUAGUUGGCGGGGUAACGGCCCACCAAGUCAACGAUGGAUAGGGGUUCUGAGAGGAAGGUCCCCCACAUUGGAACUGAGACACGGUCCAAACUCC